AAGUGGCGCACGGGUGCGUAACGCGUAUGCAACCUACCUUAAUCAGGGGGAUAGCCCGGAGAAAUCCGGAUUAACACCGCAUAAAAACACAGGAUAGCAUUAUCCAAUGUUCAAAUAUUUAUAGGAUUAAGAUGGGCAUGCGUGUCAUUAGCUAGUUGGCGGGGUAACGGCCCACCAAGGCGACGAUGACUAGGGGAUCUGAGAGGAUGACCCCCCACACUGGUACUGAGACACGGACCAGACUCCUACGGGAGGCAGCAGUAAGGAAUAUUGGUCAAUGGAGGCAACUCUGAACCAGCCAUGCCGCGUGCAGGAAGACUGCCCUAUGGGUUGUAAACUGCUUUUAUCCGGGAAUAAACCUCUUUACGAGUAAAGAGCUGAAUGUACCGGAAGAAUAAGGAUCGGCUAACUCCGUGCCAGCAGCCGCGGUAAUACGGAGGAUCCAAGCGUUAUCCGGAUUUAUUGGGUUUAAAGGGUGCGUAGGCGGCCUGUUAAGUCAGGGGUGAAAGACGGUAGCUCAACUAUCGCAGUGCCCUUGAUACUGAUGGGCUUGAAUGGACUAGAGGUAGGCGGAAUGAGACAAGUAGCGGUGAAAUGCAUAGAUAUGUCUCAGAACACCGAUUGCGAAGGCAGCUUACUAUGGUCUUAUUGACGCUGAGGCACGAAAGCGUGGGGAUCAAACAGGAUUAGAUACCCUGGUAGUCCACGCCCUAAACGAUGAACACUCGCUGUUGGCGAUACACAGUCAGCGGCUAAGCGAAAGCGUUAAGUGUUCCACCUGGGGAGUACGGUCGCAAGAUUGAAACUCAAAGGAAUUGACGGGGGCCCGCACAAGCGGAGGAGCAUGUGGUUUAAUUCGAUGAUACGCGAGGAACCUUACCCGGGCUUGAAAGUUAGUGAAUGAUUUAGAGAUAGAUCAGUCCGCAAGGACACGAAACUAGGUGCUGCAUGGCUGUCGUCAGCUCGUGCCGUGAGGUGUUGGGUUAAGUCCCGCAACGAGCGCAACCCCUAUGUUUAGUUGCCAGCACGUCAUGGUGGGGACUCUAAACAGACUGCCUGUGCAAACAGAGAGGAAGGAGGGGACGACGUCAAGUCAUCAUGGCCCUUACGUCCGGGGCUACACACGUGCUACAAUGGAUGGUACAGAGGGCAGCUACAUAGCAAUAUGGUGCGAAUCUCACAAAGCCAUUCACAGUUCGGAUUGGGGUCUGCAACUCGACCCCAUGAAGUUGGAUUCGCUAGUAAUCGCGUAUCAGCAAUGACGCGGUGAAUACGUUCCCGGGCCUUGUACACACCGCCCGUCAAGCCAUGGAAGUUGGGGGUACCUAAAGUAUGUAACCGCAAGGAGCGU
rnacentral:rRNA from 1 species